AUUCUUCUCCUAAUGCAUGAUUAAUGCACCUCCUGCAAAUUCUAUAUUUAGUGUGUUAUGUCAGGAGGAAAUAGCAGGGAGAUCAUCUUUCACAUGAUGGAUGAAAUCACUGUGGAGCACCAAGGGCAGCUGUAGCCUACAAUUUGCCAGAAAUCAGGAUAAUAAAAAAAAAACAAAAAAAACAAUUAUAUAUUAUUUCUCUUUCAUCUCUUUUUUCAUCAGCUUUUCAGACCCCACACCCCCCUCUCCGUGGUACACAGGAAAGGAGCCUGUGAAAUGGAAAUGAGGGCUCCAUAUCAGGGAUCAAAUCGAGGGUGUUCGUGUGCAUGGAAUGUUUUUCUCCAGGAUCUUGGAGUGCUGCCAAGAACAGAACUGGAACGAGGGUGAGUGAGAAUGAGCGAGAGAGAGAAACAGAAAAAACAACGAGGCAGACAGUAAAUGCAAGGUUUUUCCCCCAACAGGAAUGACUGUGUGAAGAGACAGUAUUUAUGGCUUGUGGCAGCUGCGUUAGCUGAUUAGGUACACCGACAAGGCGGAUGGUAAUUGCUUUAACAUUUCCAUACCAAAUUCAGCAGUGAAGGAAAGGAGGAUAUUAUGGCAAACAUCAAAUUCAGAAGUGGAUGGUGGGAUGCUUUACAGUCUAUACCAGCCAAGAUAAAAUUACAGUUCUAGUAUGGUUUCAGCCAGGACAUAGAUAUACUGUAUGUAAAAAUAUUUUGCGGUUAUUUCUGACAGUGAUUUUGAAUGGUUUUCAUUUAUGUACUCUGAACCUGACCUAGUACCCUUGCCUGCCCAUAUCCAGUAUAGGGGCCUUAUCAGGAAGAAUAUUCAAGCAGCUUUAAACAGACUCAAUACUAUUCCCUUCAACACAUACAUACUACUUUUCAACCUAAAAACGGAGGAUUUUCUGUUUGCAUCAGUCGUGUACUCUAUCUCCGUGGAGAUUCUCAAAGACCAUGAAAAAUAUCAAUCCGUUCACUGGAAACAGACAUGACAGAGAACGCAAGCGCCUUGGUGACCCAGGGGUGACAAUGUCCUUCAAUUAGCAUUUUUCUAGGUCACUGAGUGGACAGACACAAAAUACCAUCACAACAACUGUCAAUGAACCAAAAAAAGGCAUUAAAUAAGCAUCUCUUCACAGCUGUAUGCAAAAUGAGUGCAAAAUGACUGCUGUGAUUGUAUACUAUGUUACUGACCCUUAUCCAGUAGUGUAUAAUAAUCUGGUAGUACUAUGACAUGAUUUAUUGUUUGUUAACUGGUGUAUUAAUGUAACUACCUUCCCUAUUGUUAAUUGUACAGUACAUUUAAACAAGCUGGCUUCAACAUUAAAGAUAUUAAUGAAAACAAAACAAGGUUUAAAUUCAGUGUAUUUCCAGUCUAGUCUGAACCAGUUUGUACUGUCUGCAUUGUCACUUGAGCAUGGCCAGGUUUACCAUGGCUUUCUCUGCUUUACUACCAUAUUCAUCUGCCAUUUAUUCUGCACACUUUUACUUGUGAGAUACCUUUAAGAACCAUGCUAUUGGAGGGAUUCUCUUUUGGAUGAUGCAUUGAACUAUAGUCUGGUCUAUUAUUUAUUAUUAUUAAUAUUAUUUAUUUAUUUGGCAGACGCCUUUAUCCAAGAUGUUACAGGGCAGUACAGGGUUACAAUGCAAGAUUAAUAUCUAAAUACAGUAUAGUUUACAGUAAGUGCAAAUAAUACUACUAAAGUACAAUAUGAACUAGGAUGCAACAAGUAAGGAUUACAGCAAAUUAUUAUCUACAAGGACAUAUUAGUAGUGCAAUAGUGCAAGUAUGGUGCAUUAGCUGAGGAUCCAGUAACAUGUUGCUUAGGUCAGGCAAGUCCAGUGCAUAGUAGGAGGGGUAGACCAAGAGAUCUACGAGUGCAGUCUAAACAGGUGGGUCUUGAGGAGGAGGCGGGCAGUGAGAGACGGAGCAGUCCUGAAGUUCUCCCGGAGCUGGUUCCACCACAGAGGGGCUAGGAAAGAGAAGGAGCAGGCACAGGAGAAUGGAGAGUGGAGGGAAGGCAUGACCAGUUGGCCAGUAGAGGAGGAGCGGAGAGGACGAGAGGGGGUGUAGGAGACACGAGGGAUUGGAGUAUGGUAAGUACAUCGCUCUGACUGAGGGAUUCACUGCACCCAUCAACACACAGGGGGAUUACUGUUACAUCAAACUCUGGUUGAGAAAGCAAUAGCAAGAGUGCAAGCCUCUGGCAAGCUGCCAGCAUCUAAAAAUUGAAAAACAUCAACGUCACUGUUGCCUAGCUUCAUGUGCUAUCUACUACUGUACAGAACAGGAUUUCCACCUCUUCAUACACCCAUUUUUUAUUCUGAAAAUACAAUAAAUAUAUAUUUUUCAGCGGCUGUGAUAAAACUACUUACAGAGCCUCUUCUCGUAUAAACGGAAGGGACAAGGUGUGGGGAAAUGACGUGCAGCUCUCCAGGCAGAUGUCUUUCACUGGAGUCGCAUUUCAAAAUGAGAAAGUCUGCAACCAGCCUUAACCCUUUCAGAACCAAGCAUUUUCCAGUGGGAUGCUCCCCAGGACCAGGUGUUUUUUGGCUGUAUUUGACUCUCUUCCUAUAAAAAUUUACUAGCAUCUUGGAAAUGGUGUCCUUCUUUUUAGAACACUAUAAAGUACUUCAGAAACCAUACAAACGUUUUGCUUUUUUUGAACACAAUAUUUCUUUUUUGUUGUUUUUUUUUAAAGUACAUGUAUACCAAACUCAUAUAUACCAAACAGUUAUCCUAUUUACAUGUUAUAUCCAUGCUAUUUGCUUAUUUAUUGAUUUAAGAACAUUCCUAUUAUUACAGAAAGACAAAUAUAGAUGUUGAUGAAUGCUGUUUUGUCAAGUCUAAUUGUACUGUUUGUUAUUAUUAGAUGGCUAACACGAUCCGCAGCUGUCGCUUAAGGCCAGCACAAACCCGGACAACACUUCACCAUUGUUCACGGAUAAAUUAUCUUGAGCUUGGUUGGCAGUAAUUCGAGGAGGCUGUGUGGUCCAGUGGUUAAAGAAAAGGGCUUGUAACCAAGAGGUCCCCGAUUCAAAUCCCGACUCACUCACCUACUCACUGUGUGACCCUGAGCAAGUCACUUGACCUCCUUGGCUCCUUCUUUUGGCUCACCACUGUCGCCCCUGCGCUGACUCAGAAGAGACAAAGACGGAUUCACGCGUCCUCCGAAACGUGUGCCGUCAGCUUCUUUUCACUCUGCAGGCCUGCCCUGCAGCCACCUCAGAGCUACAGCACCGGAGGACCACGCAGCUCUGGGCAAUUUACAGGCAGGCCCAUCUACAGGUGCGCGGUGUGCCGAGGACACCCUGGCCGACCUAAGCCCUCCCCAACAGGGCGGCACUCAGCCAAAUGUGCGCCGCCCCCUGGGAACUCCCGUCCAUGGUCAGCAGUGGAAUAGCCUGGACUUGAACCGGCGAAUUCCAGGCUAUAAGGCGCAUCCUGCACUCCACGCAGAGAGCGUUUACCGGGUGCACCAUUCAGGAGCCCAGGACACUGUAGUUUUAAGCUUGUAUAAAAUGGGGUUAAAGUUGUGUAAAAUUCAUCAUUCUUGUUUUGUUUUGAACAAGGAUAGUUGAUAGUGUGCUAUGGAUGUUCAUAUGUAUUUGGAACUGGAAUGUUUAUCUACGUUGAUUUGAAUGAUUACCAAGCAUGUGUCUGCAAAGUUACUCGUGUGCAUUGUAAUCAGAGCUGUUGAGCUCUGUGGUAAAAUGCAGAGUGGUGCAUUUAUCCCGAAUAACAUAAUAAACUGUUGAUUUACUUAUAAACCUCUGAGUGUUUUUUUUUUCUGUGUUUGUGCAUUGCUAAUAAUUUUGCUGUUUAGUGGUAGGGGUGGUCAAACAUAAUUUUAGAUUUUUAUCAAAAACAAAUAAUCAAAUCGAUUUUUGUAAUCAGUUGUCAGAUAACUUAAACAUGUCUGAAAUGAAAAUAUACAAAACAAUGUGAGGAUGCAUGACUGAUCAGCUACUGAUUAUUUUACUAGCUGACAGUCAUGCAUCCUUACCAAACGUGUGCAGACUGUGGCCGAGGGGUAAUAAGAUAAUUAACAGCUAGUUAACCCCUCGGCCAGAGUAUAAGAACCUGCAGCUGCCCGUGCUGCGGGGUGGAGUGUACAAAGGAGAGUACGGGGAGCGGAGAGAGCGAGGAAAAAUAAUAACAUUUAAAAACAACUGCUGAACAGUCUUUGUUUAUUUGUUUGGCCCUUGUGCCUUUUUGUUUUGUGUUUUGUUGUUUUGUUUAAAUCUUUUGUUUUUGUUUUGUUUAUUAAUAAAUUCAGCUGAAGUGCCAUAGCAUUCAGCUUCACCCACCCAUCCAUUGUUUUGGUUUCAGUUACUUCCUGGUCCGUGACGUCACCACACCUCACCACACCAAGCCAUCCUGUCACAGGCAGAUAUCGAUCAUGCACCAGAUUUGACAAAAUCUGAAUUAUUCAUAUAUAAUUGCAGACUUUGCUGCUGCAAAAGCACAAACAGUUCAUUUCUAAAUGUCUCUGUGUGUUUUUUUUGGGAUUUCUGUAGUAAAAUGCAAUACAUUUAAUAGUGUCAUUG